UACGUCAUUACGGCUCCCCUCGGCCUGGAUGGAUGGACCCGACCACACCGCGCCCCCGUCACGUGACUUGUAGCCAACCAAUGCUCUUUUACACACCAGCCACGAUUUCAAAUGGGGAAGGAAAAGAUUCGACCAACGUCCAUAUGUUGUGGCGGCAUGCGACACGAGCAAGGGGUUGAGGGAUCAAGUUUACAGUGAACCAGUGAAUGAUCUCUGACCACCGACUGUUAUGGGACGCCUCCCUCUAUUGGGAAUUGGCAAAAGGUCAGUGAAGGAGUAUGGAGCACCAUCCAGUCUGAGCUACUCCCAACAUGACAAGGAAGAUAGUGGAGAAUUACCUCUACACAACCAGUGUCCAUCUUUGUUGGGCUGCAGGACUGGACAUCACCUCCGCCUGGGUGGCAGCCAGAGACCGGAAGACCUGGAGCAUGCGGAGCUGAAUCAAUGUUCAUCCAGGGAAGGAUGUAAACUUGGACCUAGGAUAGUUGGAAGGAGAAGACGGCUUCAGGACUGAUUCCAGCCUAGGAUAGUAGGAUGGGAGAGAACUUGGCAUGGGAUGGAAAGGACAACUUUUGGAUUUUCAAGCCUGGGAAAGAAAGGACAAGUUUAAUACAGCUGGCAUGGCCAAGUGAAGAUCUGAGGGAUAUGCAAUGAAUGCAGUGGUCUGCAGUAGUCUGCCUACCUGGAACGUGGGUAUCCCGCAAAUGAGAGGUCGUACAAAAUUGAGGUUGAAACUGCUGGAGAACAGGCCGGGGUCUUCCACAGAAGAGAAAAAUGACAGAAUAGUGACAAAAGAGAAUAGUGACAAGUCAACCUUCAUCUCCAGAACACAGUCUUAGUAGACAUGCUUAAAAACCUAAAAAAUUGAUAAUGUAUAUCUUCAUAUGUCGCCUAACAGUGACAAAUUACAUGUACUGGUUGGUUUACUCUUACUUGAAGUCAGAUACAUUCAUAUAUAUGGUGAGUAGGUUCUCUAAUUGAGGUUACAUAAUACAACCCAAAACUAGGGUGUCUAAUAUGGCACAAGUUACCAUUGUGACUGACGUCUGGCCCAGGUCAUUGACUUUAUUUCUUCAGAACAGGAGAAAUUGAGCAAAACAAGUUUUCCUUCUGCAUAGGUAAGCAUAAAGCAACUUCAAAUACAUUCAUCUCUUUUCUCAAUACAUUCAUCUCUUUUCCUGAUAGCUUUUAUAGCUGAUUUGUUUUCAUAGCUUGGAAUCCAUCCUUACGAUUGCCCGUACCAGCAGUCACCACCUAUUGGUAGCAAUGGCUCAUAGAACCAGCAAUAGCGCUUCUCAAUGGACCUAUCACAUUAUUACGUCACAUUUUGUUUACCUGUUCUAAAGAACAUUCUAGAACGGUCAGUUAAAGAAUGAAGAUCAUUUCA